rnacentral:rRNA from 1 species
AACGAACGCUGGCGGCAUGCCUAACGCAUGCAAAUCGAACGAAGCCUUCGGGCUUAGUGGCGCACGGGUGCGUAACGCGUGGGAAUCUGCCCUUGGGUUCGGAAUAACAGUUAGAAAUGACUGCUAAUACCGGAUGAUGUCUUCGGACCAAAGAUUUAUCGCCCAAGGAUGAGCCCGCGUGGGAUUAGGUAGUUGGUGGAGUAAUGGCCCACCAAGCCGACGAUCCUUAGCUGGUCCGAGAGGAUGAUCAGCCACACUGGGACUGAGACACGGCCCAGACUCCUACGGGAGGCAGCAGUGGGGAAUAUUGGACAAUGGGCGAAAGCCUGAUCCAGCAAUGCCGCGUGAGUGAUGAAGGCCUUAGGGUUGUAAAGCUCUUUUACCAGGGAUGAUAAUGACAGUACCUGGAGAAUAAGCUCCGGCUAACUCCGUGCCAGCAGCCGCCGUAACAC